rnacentral:tRNA from 1 species
GCCUGACUGGCUCAGUUGGUAGAGCAUGUGACUCUUGAUCUCAGGGUUGUGAGUUUGAGCCCCACGUUGGGUG